rnacentral:rRNA from 1 species
CCUACGGGAGGCUGCAGUGGGGAAUAUUGGGCAAUGGGCGCAAGCCUGACCCAGCAACGCCGCGUGAAGGAAGAAGGCUUUCGGGUUGUAAACUUCUUUUCUGGGGGACGAACAAAUGACGGUACCCCAGGAAUAAGCCACGGCUAACUACGUGCCAGCGGCAGCGGUAAUACGUAGGUGGCAAGCGCUAUCCGGAAUUAUUGGGUGUAAAGGGCGUGUAGGCGGGAAUGCAAGUCAGAUGUGAAAACUCAGUGCACAACCCUGUGGCUGCAGUUGAAACAGUGGUGCUGGAGUGCUGGGGAGGCAGUCGGAAUUCGGUGUGUAGCGGAGAAAUGAGUAGAUAUACAGAGGAACACCAGUGGCGAAAGCGGAUUGCUGGACAGUAACUGACGCGGAGGCGCGAAAGCGUGGGGAGCAAGCAGGAGUAGAUACCGUAGUC